UUGGGAGCUCACUGGCUUCGGAUUCCAUGAGAAUUCUGAAGUUAAGCGAGUUCGGGCUAGAGCAAUCCCAGGAUGGGUGACCCAUUGGGAAGUUGCUCGUGAGUUCCCAGA
rnacentral:rRNA from 1 species